AAGCCCAUGGUGGAAAGGAGAUUAAAAACACAUCCUUGCUGUCGGCAAAGAGAAAUCGGAAUGAACUUGGAUGUAUUGCAAAGAUGUCCUGCGAUGUGCAUAACAUAUUUUUCGAACACACUGGGGCAACGACUAGGGUGUGAUUAAUCAUUGUGUGAAAGAAUUGUUCCCUGUUAAGGUCUAGCAGAGAGUUGGGUGGUUUCUGUCUUUUCAAAUCCGGGCCAGCGCUGAAGGGACAUCUCAGAUUCUGUGCAUGGACUCCGGUUCGCGGGAAAAGCGCUCCCUCUGGCAGUCAAAACUGAUUUAAAGGAUGCUGGCUUGCAACCUGGAAGAGGCUUGGAUUUCAGCUCCAGUCUCCAAGCUGAGGCUCGGCAAAUCCCUGGCACUGAAGAGACCCCAGGGAGGUGUCGCCGCUGCCCUGCCCACCUGUAUGCUGUCAUCUCUAGGGCCCCUCCAGAAGUGAGAAGAACCAUCAGCUGUGCGAGGCCCGUCCCACGCCUCCGCCCUCUGAUAAUUACGCCAGCAGGGGCUGGCCCGCUCCCAUUUAUUUAUGAAUGGCGGCAUUUGUAGGGGGAUCGGUAACCGAAUCACCGAUUCAUCUGAGUGAGGCAAACCGUCUGUCCAUGAGUCUUUGGACUGGAUUUCAUCUCUUGACCAAACGGAGCUCACUGAAUUACAUGGCAGACUGUGUUGUCCUUACUAGGAUGAUCAU